CGCCCUAAAGGUGCAUCAAUCUUAUCCGAAUAUGAAUGAACCGGGCAGUUAGUCUUGAUGAAAGAUCUUUUUGUGCGUAUCAUUGUUGGAAAUCUUGUAAAAGAUAGUAACUGCUAUCCCAAUACAGAGAGAAAAAAAGGCUUUAGCACUAGAAGUGAUAAACCGCUUUCCAACCUUACGAAGUGGUAAUGGUGAUGGUUAUGAUGCUUACUUCAGACAGUAUGUUGAAGUAUUACGAAACGGAAAAGUUAAAAAAUAUUCACCAUCAGGCUAUAUUGAAGAGCGUUUAAAAACGCUGAUAAAACAACUACCAAUUACUGACAAGCCACACAAGCCUCAUCAGAAGCGCCUAAGAACAGAUGCAGUUGAUCUAGUCAAUAGAACCUCCGACUGACUCUUCGUUGGCUGAUGUGGCGACCCUCUCUCAAUGUUUUUAUCUUAACUUUCAAGAUCCAGCCAAAACAAUGAGCAACCCAAACACAUAAAUAU
rnacentral:lncRNA from 1 species